rnacentral:rRNA from 1 species
AUUGAACGCUGGCGGCAGGCCUAACACAUGCAAGUCGAACGAGUGGCGGACGGGUGAGUAAUGUCUGGGAAACUGCCCGAUGGAGGGGGAUAACUACUGGAAACGGUAGCUAAUACCGCAUACCAUCGGAUGUGCCCAGAUGGGAUUAGCUAGUAGGUGGGGUAACGGCACACCAAGGCGACGAUCCCUAUCAGGGCUGAGGGGAUGACAGCCCACAGUGGAACUGAGACACGGUCCAGACUCCUACGGGAGGCAGCAGUGGGGAAGAUGGCACAAUGGGCGCGAGCCUGAUGCAGCCAUGCCGCGUGUAUGAAGAAGGCGUUCGGGUUGUAAAGUACUGUCAGCGAGGAGGCGUUACUCGCAGAAGAAGCACCGGCUAACUCCGUGCCAGCAGCCGCGGUAAUUC